AUUCGAGGGAAGCACAGCAGCUGAAUGAAGUCGACAGAGACCCUGCUCUCUGGAGAUUGAUACUGAAGGGCCGUGAGGGAACGUCAAGGAGGGAAUGCCAUUGUCUGCAUCCUGGCCUUACUUGCAAACGGAAAAGGAACUGGAUGUAAACACUGACAUGGUGGCCGUAACACCUGUGCAGGAGUGUUUGGCAGAGCUGUGCACUGAUGCCGGCAACUGCUUUGAGUGCAUCAAGGAAGGACCCGGCUUGGAGCACUGACGCACCGUUAGAGAGGAGAUGAAAGCAAGUGUUUUGAAAGUGUUGCUGGAUCUUUUCCUGAGGCUUUGAAAGAUCCAACCUCUGAAGAUGAAUUGAAGACCAAUCCCUCCACAUCACAUGCCACUCAGGGGCCUCAGGACUACAUAGGAACUUCUGGAAAAUCCAGAAGAAUCAGUGAUGCCUGCUUCAAGUGCCUCAACUUCUU